rnacentral:rRNA from 1 species
GCUGGCGGCAGGCCUAACACAUGCAAGUCGAGCGGAAACGAUGGAAGCUUGCUUCCAGGCGUCGAGCGGCGGACGGGUGAGUAAUGCAUAGGAAUCUGCCCGGUAGUGGGGGAUAACUUGGGGAAACCCAAGCUAAUACCGCAUACGCCCUACGGGGGAAAGCAGGGGAUCUUCGGACCUUGCGCUAUCGGAUGAGCCUAUGUCGGAUUAGCUAGUUGGUGAGGUAAUGGCUCACCAAGGCCGCGAUCCGUAGCUGGUCUGAGAGGAUGAUCAGCCACAUCGGGACUGAGACACGGCCCGAACUCCUACGGGAGGCAGCAGUGGGGAAUAUUGGACAAUGGGCGAAAGCCUGAUCCAGCCAUGCCGCGUGUGUGAAGAAGGCCCUCGGGUUGUAAAGCACUUUCAGUGAGGAAGAACGCUUGUGGGUUAAUACCCUGCAAGGAAGACAUCACUCACAGAAGAAGCACCGGCUAACUCCGUGCCAGCAGCCGCGGUAAUACGGAGGGUGCGAGCGUUAAUCGGAAUUACUGGGCGUAAAGCGCGCGUAGGCGGCUUGAUAAGCCGGUUGUGAAAGCCCCGGGCUCAACCUGGGAACGGCAUCCGGAACUGUCAGGCUAGAGUGCAGGAGAGGAAGGUAGAAUUCCCGGUGUAGCGGUGAAAUGCGUAGAGAUCGGGAGGAAUACCAGUGGGCGAAGGCGGCCUUCUGGACUGACACUGACCCCUGAGGUGCNAAANCGUGGGUAGCAAACAGGAUUAGAUCCCCUGGUAGUCCACGCCGU